rnacentral:rRNA from 1 species
UACAGAGGGUGCAAGCGUUAAUCGGAAUUACUGGGCGUAAAGCGUGCGUAGGUGGUUCUUUAAGUCAGGUGUGAAAUCCCUGGGCUCAACCUGGGAACUGCAUUUGAUACUGAAGAGCUAGAGUGUGGUAGAGGAUAGUGGAAUUCCCGGUGUAGCGGUGAAAUGCGUAGAUAUCGGGAGGAACAUCAGUGGCGAAGGCGGCUAUCUGGACUAACACUGACACUGAGGCACAAAAGCGUGGGUAGCAAAC